rnacentral:rRNA from 1 species
UGGCUCAGAACGAACGCUGGCGGCGUGCUUAACACAUGCAAGUCGAACGGGAAACGUUCCUUCGGGAACCGAGUACAGUGGCGCACGGGUGAGUAACACGUAUGUGACCUACCUAUCGCUGGGGAACAACCCCGGGAAAGCGGAGCUAAUUCCGCAUACGCUUUCCAACUCGCGGGUUGGAAAGGAAAGAUGGCCUCUUCAUGAAAGCUAUCGGCGAAUGAUGGGCCUGCGCGUCAUUAGCUUGUUGGUGAGGUAACGGCUCACCAAGGCUGCGAUGACUAGCUGGUCUGAGAGGGUGACCAGCCACACUGGCACUGGAACACGGGCCAGACUCCUACGGGAGGCAGCAGUGGGGAAUAUUGCGCAAUGGGCGAAAGCCUGACGCAGCAACGCCGCGUGAGUGACGAAGGCCUUCGGGUCGUAAAGCUCUGUCGAGAGGGACGAAACACCGGUGGGAACAAUACCUCGCCGGUUUGACGGUACCUCCAAAGGAAGCACCGGCUAACUCCGUGCCAGCAGCCGCGGUAAUACGGAGGGUGCAAGCGUUGUUCGGAAUUACUGGGCGUAAAGGGCGUGUAGGCGGAUCAAGAAGUCGGGUGUGAAAGCCCUGGGCUCAACCCAGGAAGUGCGCCCGAAACCAUUGGUCUUGAGUUCCAGAGGGGAGCGGGGAAUUCCCAGUGUAGAGGUGAAAUUCGUAGAUAUUGGGAAGAACACCGGUGCCGAAGGGGCCAGUCUGGAUGGAUACUGACGCUGAGGCGCAAAACGUGGGGAGCAACAGGAUUAGAUACC